rfam:Ricinus communis cultivar Hale ctg_1100012361275, whole genome shotgun sequence.
AAACCAUAAAGUGGACAGCUCCUCAGUAAAUCCUUGAACCAUUCCCAAUAAUCAUAUAAAGUUUCAUUCUCCUACUAAAGAAAUCCUGCUAUGUCAUUCCUUAACUU